rnacentral:lncRNA from 1 species
CAUAGUCUUAAGUCAUGCCUUUGCAUAAUGAUGUAAUCUAUAGUGGGCAGGAAGAAUUCAGCAUAACUAUGAAUAGUAGCAGUAUUUGUGGUGAACUGGUUGUGACAUUCUCACUUGAGCAUUUCUCUUUGGAACUAGUUCUUCAAUCAUGAGGCUUCCAGUAACGUCAAGAGAAAGAGCAGUACAAGAAUAGCCUGGGUGAGGGAGAAAGAGGACACUUGUUUUAGAGGCUCCACCACAGAAGGAGAGGAAAGGAAAGGAGUCUUGUUUGAAAUACUGACAUUUUUAGUCAUCUCUGUGUGACAUUCCCUCCAUCAUUCCCACAUAUUCUGGAGCCUUGUGCACAAAACUCACCGGAGUCCCAGUAAGGGGCAAAACAACUUGCAAGAAACUAGGUAGUGUCUUCACAUCGCUACAUGAUGCAGAAGGAUCACUCUUUGCCAGCUGCCAAAUCAAGUAUUGUUGUACAGUCUCUGCCUUCAGCAACAUCCUCAGUGUUCUGGCAGUGGGACCCUUGAAAGGACAGCACAAAACAGACUUCAUGCUGCCCCUGCACUUCAGACUCUCUGCUCUGCACGAAGCUGCACUGUUCAGAAGAAGCAAGAUUCUUUCCUCACAGCUACGGCACUGCGACACAGCCUGCUUUUUCGCAUUUACCUGGGUGGCUGCUGCUGGUUCUGCUGCUGCUGCAGCCUCGCUGCCUGCACUUCACCCCAGCUUGGCUGAUGCGAGUCUCCCUCGUCUGCGCAUCGCUAAGGAAGAGAAGCGAUGGAGCCGCAAUUUUUCUGACUUCAAGCUUAACUUAAAGAAAAAUCCUUUCGCCGGAGUUCAGAAGGAUAAUUCAGAUAAAAUUUCCUGGAAAGCAGUCAUUUGCCUGAACUCGUGUGGCUGCACUGUGUCGGGAGCUCAGUUAGCACAGUGUGACACAUAG